rnacentral:rRNA from 1 species
GAUUUAUUGGGCGUAAAGGGGGCGCAGGCGGUUUCUUAAGUCUGAUGUGAAAGCCCACGGCUUAACCGUGGAAGUGCAUUGGAAACUGGGAAACUUGAGUACAGAAGAGGAGAGUGGAACUCCAUGUGUAGCGGUGGAAUGCGUAGAUAUAUGGAAGAACACCAGUGGCGAAGGCGACUUUCUGGUCUGUCACUGACGCUGAGGCCCGAAAGCGUGGGUAGCA